rfam:TPA: Bos taurus chromosome X, whole genome shotgun sequence.
UCCCUGGUGGCUCAGAUGGUAAAAGCGUCUGCCUACAAUGCAGGAGAAUGGGGUUCGAUCCUUGGUCUGGGAA